GACGAACGCUGGCGGCGUGCUUAACACAUGCAAGUCGAGCGGUAAGGCCCUUUCGGGGGUACACGAGCGGCGAACGGGUGAGUAACACGUGGGUGACCUGCCCUUAGCUCUGGGAUAAGCCUGGGAAACUGGGUCUAAUACCGGAUAUGACUCCAUGACGCAUGUUGUGGGGUGGAAAGCCUUGUGCGGCUAGGGAUGGGCCCGCGGCCUAUCAGCUUGUUGGUGGGGUGAUGGCCUACCAAGGCGACGACGGGUAGCCGGCCUGAGAGGGCGACCGGCCACACUGGGACUGAGACACGGCCCAGACUCCUACCGGGAGGCAGCAGUGGGGAAUCUUGCGCAAUGGGCGAAAGCCUGACGCAGCCAUGCCGCGUGAAUGAUGAAGGUCUUAGGAUUGUAAAAUUCUUUCAGCGGGGACGAUAAUGACGGUACCCGCAGAAGAAGCCCCGGCUAAC
rnacentral:rRNA from 1 species